GCUGGAUGUGGUGGCGCAUGUCUGUAAUCCCAGCUACUCGGGAGGCUGAGGCAGAAGAAUCGCUUGAACCCGGAAGGCGGAGGUUGCAGUGAGCCGAGAUUAUUCCAUUGCACUCCAGCCUCGGCAAGAAGAGUGAAACUUCGUCUCAAAAAAAAGAAAAAAAAAUUCACAUUUCAAAGUCUCAUGAUUUUUUUUUUCUCUUUUUUGGAGACAGAGUUUCACUCUUGUCACCCAGGCUGGAGUGCAAUGGCAUGAUCUCGGCUCACCGCAACCUCUGCCUUCCGGGUUCAAGCGAUUCUUCUGCCUCAG
rnacentral:SRP_RNA from 1 species